AACGCUGGCGGCGUGCCUAAUACAUGCAAGUCGAACGGUCUUUCUAUGGAAGCUUGCUUCCACUGAGAAGAUAGUGGCGAACGGGUGAGUAACACGUGGGUAACCUGCCCAUAAGAGGGGGGAGUAACAUCCGGAAACGGGUGCUAAUACCGCAUAGUUUUCUUGAUCGCAUGAUCGGGAAAGGAAAGACGGCCUUUGUGCUGUCGCUUAUGGAUGGACCCGCGGCGUAUUAGUUAGUUGGUGAGGUAACGGCUCACCAAGACGAUGAUACGUAGCCGACCUGAGAGGGUGAUCGGCCACAUUGGGACUGAGACACGGCCCAAACUCCUACGGGAGGCAGCAGUAGGGAAUCUUCCGCAAUGGACGAAAGUCUGACGGAGCAACGCCGCGUGAGUGAAAGAAGGUUUUCGGAUCGUAAAACUCUGUUGUCAGAGAAGAACAAGUUGGAGAGUAACUGCUCCAGCCUUGACGGUAUCUGACCAGAAAGCCACGGCUAACUACGUGCCAGCCGCCGC
rnacentral:rRNA from 1 species